CCUACGGGUGGCAGCAGUGAGGAAUAUUGGUCAAUGGACGAGAGUCUGAACCAGCCAAGUAGCGUGAAGGAUGACUGCCCUAUGGGUUGUAAACUUCUUUUAUAUGGGAAUAAAACGUUCCACGUGUGGGAUUUUGUAUGUACCAUAUGAAUAAGGAUCGGCUAACUCCGUGCCAGCAGCCGCGGUAAUACGGAGGAUCCGAGCGUUAUCCGGAUUUAUUGGGUUUAAAGGGAGCGUAGGUGGAUUGUUAAGUCAGUUGUGAAAGUUUGCGGCUCAACCGUAAAAUUGCAGUUGAAACGGGCAGUCUUGAGGACAGUAGAGGUGGGCGGAAUUCGUGGUGUAGCGGUGAAAUGCUUAGAUAUCACGAAGAACUCCGAUUGCGAAGGCAGUUCACUGGACUGCAACUGACACUGAGGCUCGAAAGUGUGGGUAUCAAACAGGAUUAGAUACCCCGGUAGUC
rnacentral:rRNA from 1 species